AUUGAACGCUGGCGGCAGGCCUAACACAUGCAAGUCGAGCGAGCGGCGGACGGGUGAGUAAUGUAUGGGGACUGCCCGAUAGAGGGGGAUAACUACUGGAAACUGUAUCUAAUACCGCAUACUAUCGGAUAACCCAUAUGGGAUGAGCUAGUCGGUGAGGUAAUGGCUCACCUAGGCGACGAUCCCUAGCUGGUCUGAGAGGAUGAUCAGACACACGGGGGCUGAGACACGGCCCAGACUCGUACGGAGGCAGCGGUGGGGAAUAUUGCACAAUGGGCGCAAGCCUGAUGCAGCCAUGCCGCGUGUAUGAAGAAGGCCAUAGGGUUGUAAAGUACUUUCAGUCGGGAGGCGUUACCGACAGAAGAAGCACCGGCUAACUCCGUGCCAGCAGCCGCGGUAAUAC
rnacentral:rRNA from 1 species